CAGCCGCCGCGGUAAUACGUAGGGGGCAAGCGUUAUCCGGAAUUACUGAGUGUAAAGGGAGCGUAGACGGUUAAACAAGUCUGAAGUGAAAUGCCGGGGCUCAACCCCGGAGCUGCUUUGGGAACUGUAGAACUGGAGUGUCGGAGGGGUAAGCGGAAUUCCCAGUGUAGCGGUGAAAUGCGUAGAUAUUGGGAGGAACACCGGCGGCGAAGGCGGCUUACUGGACGACAACUGACGUUGAGGCUCGAAGGCGUGGGUAGCAAACAGGAUUAGAUACCCGCGUAGUCCCUGUCUCUUAUAC
rnacentral:rRNA from 1 species